rnacentral:rRNA from 1 species
GACGGAAGGUGCAAGCGUUGCUCGGAAUCAGCUGGGCGUAAAGGGUGCGUAGGCGGCCGUGCAAGUCUGGCGUGAAAGCCCCGGGCUCAGCCCGGGAAGUGCGCUCGAAACUGCGCGGCUCGAGUGCCGGAGGGGAGAGUGGAAUUCCUGGUGUAGCGGUGAAAUGCGUAGAUAUCAGGAGGAAUACCAGUGGCGAAGGCGGGUCUCUGGGCCGAUACUGACGCUGAGGAGCGAAAGCGUGGGGAGCGAACAGG